CUCUGUUAUUUAAUUAGAAUCGUGAGUUGUGAAACAACGGCUAAUUUGAUGAAAAGCGUGUAUUUAAUAUAAACAACGUAAUGAAGCUCCGAGUAGGAUGUCUUUGUGUGAAAACUAUUCGAGGCUCUUAUCAUAAUGUCUUAAAUGAAAGAAUGUGUUAGACUGACGUUUAUAUACGCUUUAUUUCUAGAAAGUGAAAGGAGUCUUUCACAGAAAACAAGAGAAUAUCGAGAUAUAUUGACUGGAGACAAGAAAAACUUCUUCAUGGCUAAAGUUAUACUCAUAUUGACAAUGUUAUUGCUAUCUCUUAUGCUGUGCUUCCAUAUAGCAGAGAGUUUCGCGCCUUUUCCAGGAAAGUGUGGAGGUUGGGGCUGUCGAAGUGCAAAGAGGACACAUGUACACAGUAUUGUUGGAUCACACAGUAUCUGUGGAAGCAAUGCUCAAUGCUUGAGGACGAUGAAGAAACUCAUUACAUCAAGCAAGUAUCGGCAGUUGAAGAGGUACACUCGAAAGAGAAAAGUUAUUCGUGGUCGAAGAUACCGAGCUUGAACAAUCAACUCACAUCACGCAACACCUCAAUGGCGAAAUGGGAUGGAAAAACACCAUACUUACUUCCCCAAAAACAUUCUCAACUAAACAAAUAAGACUCAUAUCUCGGAGUAUGAACUUUAACAAAAUCCUCCGACUAAAAAGGAACUAAAAAGCGAGAGGAAAAGCUGUCCCAACGCGUGACACAAUUAUAGUGUGACACUGUGACUGGAACUUGUUGAGAACAUUUCGUGAUAUGAUUAAUGACAUUUUAAAUCCAGCUCAAGGAAGAAAUCUUUUGGGAAACCCGGCAAAGGAACGUGGAAAAUGUAUCAUAUAUAGUUGACUUAAUAUUUCGUCUUUUUCUUCGGAAUGAAAGAUGAAAAGUGCAUGGGAAUUGGAAAGUGUGCAACAGGCUAUAUGUUUUAGCUAUAGACACGAGCUACAGUUCUGUCCACAGUUCAUUAAGUUUCCUAUUGUGCGGCGCGCAUCUGAGAAGGAAAAGCUUCGAGAGUGCAAAAUAUCGAUUUUACAGAUGCCUUGGCAAACCAUCUGUUUACGACGUGAGUUCAAAAAUGUCAACAAUGCCAUCAGAAUGAACUAGUCAGUAUUCUUGUUAUCAUGAAGCAAUUCAAAAUUGUCAUUCUCAAGAACAUUUUAUGUGACUAGAACAAACUGAAAAGUAGCGUAUGGUAAUAAUUAUAGAUAUUGACGUAUUUAAAUUACUCCGAACUUGACCUGUAUAUAACGCAGGGCGACCACCCAACUGAAUUGUAGAUGUAUAUAUAUAUUAUUGUAUUUAAAAUAUUCUUCAUGCAUACGCUGU